CAAGAACACCAGCAACAUGUAAACACAAGCCCCAGAUAAGCUAGAAAGGUUAUCUUUCUUUUAGAAGGCAUCCUUGCUGUGGAUUGAGCCCCAUACGACUUGCAUAUUUUCCAAAGGCAGGAAAUCUCAUUCUCAUGUGCCCAGGAAUAGCACAUGCCUUUGCAUCUGCACUCAUCUCACUUAGAGCCAGCGUGCCUCUGAGCAGCAGGGCUAAGUAACAGCCACCUUGGAUAGGUAUCCCUCCAUGCUAAAUGUGUUUUAAGCCGGAAGCGUUGAGGAGUCCCUUCAGCACACACAGACACCUCAGGAGCCUGAUGCUUUCAGAAGAGCUCAAACCCUACUUAGGUGUUUAAAGAGGAAGCGGCGUUUCAGCAUUAUAUGCCUGUGGACAAAGAAUUUUCCAUCCUGAAAUGGAUUUUGUGGAGCUUGGUGAACCCACUUGGCAAAUACUCUGAUGCAUUAGUGAUGGGGAGUUCAGAAAACGCAGUGAAAUAAUCGCUUUUUAGAGCAGGGCUGGAGCAACAAGCAGCACACAAAGCCUGCAGCCAUGUGAUCACAGAUGCAGAAUAGACCAAAGACCAAAACAGCAGUGCACUGGCAACCUUGUACUCUGAGUGAGGCCUCAUGGUCAGAGGGAUAUGUUUAGGGCCCUCCACAGUGAACCUGAAGACAAGGAUAUCAGAAGACAAAUAGACCUCCAGGUAGGCCAAGGUUUCUUUGUUUACCUGUUUUCUUGUACUUUUCAAAGCAAACUGCUUAAGUCACUCUAAUCCAAUGUCAUGACUUGGGGAAGCUUGAACUGGGACUUUCCAAGCAUGUGAGAUUAGUUACAUACUAUUUAUGUUACAGCUCUGUUUUGCUCUCCUUGCUCAUACAUCCUCUUUGGGCUUGCUCUCUAUCCUGACAUUAGGCUGCAAGUAUUUUUCCUCAGGCACAGCAAGUAUAGAAGUUAGAUACGAGACUGGGAAGCAGAUGGAGCACUCACCAUCUUUUCUCACCUGAGGUUUUCUAGGGAAAGGACAGCUCCACAAUGAGGUUAUGGACAGCUUUGGAAAGUACAACACAGAAGUUCUACUGAAGUUGUCCCCCUUUCGAUCAACGUGGGGUUUUCCCCACCCCACACUUUCUAGCUCUUCCAAGCAUGGAAACUGGGAAACAAUGGAAAAAAUGAGGCAGCCUGCCCUCUCAGAAGACAUUUUGUAAUGUCACUCUGCUUGCCUGCUCACAGCCCGCAGGUGAUGUUGAUCGUGUUUACAGGAAAUGCCGUGAGUAAUUUGCAAAGUGAAAGCAGCUUACACUGGGUGAGGGCCUGUCUGAUGGAACAGAGCCAUGCUGCGUUUCUGGGCUCAUGGGCUGGAGAGGAGCAGCCUGGGAGGAGGUUGUGUAACAAUUCUUCCAAUACUGGUGUAUUGGAAGGACAGCUUGAGGCCAAUGUGACUCUGUCAAAAGGCCUUGCUUAGCAUUGCCACCUUCCUGGAGGAGGCAAAUUCUAGACCCUUUUACACCUCAUCCUUUUUGCCCUCACUCUCUUGUAUAAUCUUGAAUCCAAGAUGCAGCACAGCCUCAGCCCAACAGAACAUACAAGUUAUCUCCUGAAGGACUUGAGGCACCUCUGUCUCUCUCUUCUGGAUGUGGCUCUGGGCAGCCUGGUCUGGUGGUUGGCGACCCUGCACAUAGCAGGGGGGUUGAAACUACAUGAUCAUUGUGGUCCUUUUCAACCCAGGCCAUUCUAUGAUUCUAUGAUUCUCCCUACAUCCUUCUCCUUCCCCCAGUGUAACACUCUACUAACUGCACUCUCCAGACACAAUCUGGAAAGCAUAAGCACCACAGUGCAGAAAAGGCUUGUGCAUCCUUUGCAGAUGCCUACAGCUCCUGGAGACAGCAUGUGGCUGCUGAGCUCCCCAGGUAGUCCUGCUCAUGGCUCGGUGCAAUUCCUGAGUGUGCUGGGAGACCUCCUCCCUUCCCAUGUUUCCUUGAAAUCCUCUACUUCUCAGUCAGAGUGCAAAUCUGGGUUAUAUCAUGUAAUUUCUUCCCAGUAAAUGCUGGUCUCUCCACUCACUCUUUGCAUCACCCACUGUCUGCUGUGGUUCCCAGGCUGGUUGUGUUUUUUUUCCCAGCCUGUGAAGGUCUGACGAUGCUAGUGAAAUUACACAAGGCACAAAUGAGGAGAAUGGAGUAGAAGCCCAAAGAUGUGCCUCCUAGCAGGAUUUAUCUGGGGAGCUCCUUCCCUGUCCGCAGAGCGUAGCAACCUGCCAGGGACAUGGAGGCACAUAGAGGGAGGUGCAGAAGAAACAAGGAGGAAUGUGGAGGAAGAUGGAGGACUUUGAAGUAAUGUUGAGGGAGAUGGUUCCUUAGGAUGUGUCUCAAUGGGCAGGUGAGGGCAGACCCAAAUUAAUUGCACCCACACCACAUCACUCAGGUGCAAGGCACUUCUAGCCCAGAAGCUGUGUGACUCUGCAGGCAGCACUGUGCCAACAUGGGGCAAAACCUGCAGUUUGGCUCAAUACCCACCUGGCGUUGGAUGCAAACAAACCUGUGAGUCCUACACCAAGUCUACAUCUUGGCCUGCCUUCUUCAGUUCACUCCGUUGGUACAGCUGGGCUCUCAGUGAACCAGAAAGUGUGAGGUUUGCCAGAACUGAAGAGCGUGUGAAUGGGUUUGUGAAGCUAAGCCUGCCUGAACUGGAGGGCUUUUGCAUGACUGUGAAGGAAAGAGCUUAAUUCUUCUUUAUGACCUGCUUCAAAUAAAGCUACAGCAACCAAAUGGACCGUGCUGUGUGAAACCCAACAUCAUGCUCGUCCCAGCAGACUGACGGAGAUCAAAAAUUACCUUAUCACCUGGAGGUCUGCAGAGAAGCCAAGAGAUGUUGAAACCUCCCACCACCUCCAACAUCAAAGGCUGCAGCAGGUAUCUUUCCAGGUGCUUUUUCACAGCCAGCCUCAGUGAAAGCUCCCAUUCAAAAGGCAGUAACUCGGGAACAUUAGGUGUAGCUUCUGGUGGCUGAACCGGUUAAAGUUACCCUUCAAUGUCACCAGAAUAGCACACUAAAAGGGGAAAUUCAAGGAGGAAAACAAAAAGAGUCCUACCUAGGGGAUUGGCUGCUUUACAGGGGCUGGUAAUGAGAUCAUACUGCCAUGAUUCAAGGUCACAAAUUUGACUUUAGAUAAGGUGUAGCAACAGCCUCAAUCUGUAAUGGUGACUGUUCAGCAGCCUGUGUGACAUUAAUGGGUAGUCUCUUGUAGCCUUUUAAUUUAACAAGGUGAUUGCUAUAAGUUUUGUAAAAAAAUACCUCCAAACACAACUACUAAAAUGAGCUGGCGUGUGAUAGUGAACAACAAAGUUCACUGAAGCCUUUUGUACUGAUGCAUUGAAUGAUGAUGUAUUCACACCACUUUGCUGUUCUUUGUUAGAGCUUUAGGGCAGAGAUGUUAACAAAGGAUGUUCUGUAUAUUUGCAACAUAACAAAAUAAAAGAUUUUUUUUCCAGUAGGGCAUAACUACUAUCACAUAUGACUCUAACUUUAAAUGUGCCAUAAGGUAGCAGCACUGUCCAGAAGCUAGGCCUCUUCUACCUUUCAGCUUGCUGAGAACAACUUGUCUGAAAAGAUGCAGGCUGCUUUCUGCUCUGUACCUUUGUGCAGGGAGAAUUCAGAGUUCCUGGUGCAGUCCCAUCGUGCUGUGCUCGCCUCCUUUAGAGUUCACUGUAUUAAAGAUGAAGGUGCAGUCCUGAUGUCUCAUUCUGUGUAUAAAACAGAGAUUUUUGAAUAUUGGAGAAUCUGCAGCCCAAAAAAGCCUGCUGGGGAGCAGAAGACACACUGGAUUCAUGUUUGCAUGUAGUCAAAUUUACAUGAUGUUUUAUGCAUCCAGAAGAGUUAACAUCCUCCCUUUUCUUUCACGUCGAAUGGAUGCUAUGGUUUUAUGUGGGGAUGAGCAACACUUACGACAGAUAAGCUGACAAAACACAGCAAAAUCCUGGGUGUCUGCAACAUCAACAGUUAGGCUGGUGUUUCCAUGUCCCUGCUGAGGAUGGAAAAUGUUUUGCCAUCACUCUUCCUACAUACACAGUCCCAAAGUGUUCAGAAGGGCUACAUUUCUAGUGAAAUGAUCUUCAAGUGUUGUGUUGUCAUGAUAGAGAGAAGAUGGACUCAGUUCUCAGAGACCACAGUACAAUACGGAGCUUGUAGCUGAGCUUCAGUAGGAUGUUUUUAACAGUCUGAUAUCUGGAAAGUCUUUUUUCCUAAGUGGUCAGUUACUGCAAGCAAAAUGACCUUCUCCUCCUUUUGUCAGGAUUAAUUCCUGCAAACCAUACUGUAUUUUUCUCUAUGCUUGUCUGCUAACUAUGUAGAAAGUGCUAAGCAAUCGUGCAUAAUUCAUUACUCUUAAUUAAAAUGUAAAUUUAUUGUCAGCCUUUUGGGGUAAUUAAAGCACCACUGUGAGAAUAGGUUUGUGUUCUGUAUCUUUUGCAAAAAUAAACAAAUAACGUUUUAUGUUCUGCUUGAAGAGGUGCAGUUGAUCACCAAGUGGGACGCAACUGAACUUCCAGAGAAGGUCUGUCAGUUAGCAUAUAUCUAAUAUUCAACAGGGUGUGAAUCUACUUUGCUAUAAAGUGAGCUGUCUUAUUUGCUGCGGAGUUAGAUGCUUGUGUUUCGGUUUUUGGCAUAGAUGGAAAGUAUUAUUUAUAGGUAUACUUCUACAUUCCCCCCCAAAAUCCAGACUAUUUUAUUGGCCUCCAGCUGCUCCUCAGAAGCCUACAGAGAUACAUUCGAUGUAUUGCAGUGCCUACUGUAAACACCCUAUUUACCAGAGCAUUUGCAGGUUAGAUUAGGCUUCAUAAUUUAUAGACCUUGAAGCUCCCCAUGCAGUUGGGUAUCUACAAAGUGAAGGACUAAGUGCAUGAAAAAAACAAUCUUCCACAAGGAAGUGGGGUAGUGAAAGGGUGCGCAGCGUGAGACUUAGUAGUAAUUGUAGUAGAAUUGUCCUUGAAGUUUUGCAGAAUGUAGUGACGGCGAUCUUGAGACUGUGGAUGAAGAGUGGAUAUUAGGAAACAUUUCUUCUCAGGAAGAGUGGUGAGGCGCUGGCACAGGCUGCC
ensembl:lncRNA